AUACGGAGGGUGCAAACGUUAAUCGGAAUUACUGGGCGUAAAGCGCACGUAGGUGGUUUGUUAAGUGGGAUGUGAAAGCCCCGGGCUCAACCUGGGAACUGCAUUCCAAACUGAUGAACUAGAGUACGGUAGAGGGGGGUAGAAUUCAGAGUGUAGCGGUGAAAUGCGUAGAUAUUCUGAGGAAUACCGGUGGCGAAGGCGGCCCCCUGGACUGAUACUGACACUGAGGUGCGAAAGCGUGGGGAGCAAACAGGAUUAGAAACCCCGGUAGUCC
rnacentral:rRNA from 1 species